rnacentral:rRNA from 1 species
UAAUACAGAGGGUGCGAGCGUUGUCCGGAAUCACUGGGCGUAAAGGGCGCGUAGGUGGUAACCUAAGCGUGCGGUGAAAGCCCGAGGCUCAACCUCGGGUCGGCCGUGCGAACUGGGUCACUCGAGCAGAAUAGAGGCAGGUGGAAUUCCGGGUGUAGCGGUGGAAUGCGUAGAGAUCCGGAAGAACACCGGUGGCGAAGGCGGCCUGCUGGGUUCUGGCUGACACUGAGGCGCGACAGCGUGGGGAGCAAACAGGAUUAGAUACCCUGGUAGUCCACGCCGUAAACGAUGGGCACUAGGUGCUUGGGGGAGCGACCCCCUGGGUGCCGGCGCUAACGCAUGAAGUGCCCCGCCUGGGGAGUACGGCCGCAAGGCUG